GACGAACCGUGCGAACGUUGUUCGGAAUCACUGGGCUUAAAGGGCGCGUAGGCGGGCUGCCAAGUCUGUGGUGAAAUCCUCCAGCUUAACUGGAGAACUGCCGUGGAUACUGGCGCCUCGAGGGUGAUAGGGGUCGGUGGAACUGUGCGUGGAGCGGUGAAAUGCGUUGAUAUGCACAGGAACUCCGGUGGCGAAGGCGAACCGACUGGAUCACUUCUGACGCUGAGGCGCGAAAGCCAGGGGAGCGAACGGG
rnacentral:rRNA from 1 species